rnacentral:lncRNA from 1 species
GGUGUCCCUAGGUGUCUCCUCAGUGUCCCCUGCUGUCCCCUGACCCCCCCCCACCCGUUGUGCCCCAGACUCUGAUGAUGACGAUGAUGAGGAUGAGGACGAUGAAGGCCGCAGGGGGUCCCCGCACGACCUUGGGGACACUGGGGAGACCCGGGUGACACCCAGGGACAGCAGCGGCGGCGCCAUCCUGGUCACCGUGCCCUGGGGCCGCGUCACCGCCGAGUGUCCCCCCGAGGGGGGUCUCCCCGGCUCGCGGCUGGAGCUGGAGCUGGGGGAGGGGCGGCUCUGUGUCCUCCCCCGCCCGGGGGGGGUGCGGGGCCUGUCCCGGGCCUGCGCCGACGCCCGGAGCCUGCGCCUGCUGCACGGCCCGGUGCCCGCGGAGGGGGCGGGGCCGGGGCCGCCCCCCCCCCUGCUGCCCACCCUGGUGCCCUGGGAGGAGCCCGCGCCCCCCCCCGGGACCCCCCCGCAGCCCCCGCGCAUGAUGGCGCUGGCCAUGGGCGGGACAUUGAGCGCCAACGGGGACACCAAGGAGCUGGAGGUGGCGCUGGCCCUGGAGGGGCUGAUGCUGAAACACCGACCCGACCCCCCCGGGACCCCCUGGUACCAACAGGUGAGAGGGGGGGACCCCAAUUUGGGGAGGGGUUUGGGGUUCCUGAGUUUGGGGCUCUGGUUUUUUGGGUUUCUGAUUUUGGGGUUCUUGUUUCUGAGGUCCCCAUUUUUGGGGCUGUUUUGCUCAUUCCCAUUUUUGGAGUUCUUUUGGGUCUCCGGGGGGUUGGGGUUCUCUUGGGGGUUUUUCUGGUUUUGUGGGUGUUUUUGGGGUUUUCUCACUUUUGGGUUGUUUAAUGGGGUUUUCUCAUUUUUGGUGUUCUGGGCUCUCCCUUUUCCUCCUUUCCCAGCUGCUGUCCCUGGAGGACAAGCCGGUUUUGGGGUAUUUUCCUGGGGUUUUCUAAUUUCUGGGGUUUUUUUACAGGAUUUUCUCAGUUUUGGUGUUUUUUUCUGGUUUUUUUCACGGGUUUUUCUCAUUUUUGGGGUUCCCAGCUGCUGUCCCUGCUGGCCCUGGAGGACGAGCCGGUUUUGGGGUAUACGCCCCCCACGCCCCUGACCCAGCUGCACCUGCACCUUCAGCGCUGCGGCCUCGACUACAGGUGGGCACCCCAAAAACGGGGAGGGCACCCCAAAAACGGGGAUCCCAAAAACGGGGGGGUCCCAAAAUGGGGAUCCCAAAAACGGGGAGGGCACCCCAAAAAUGGGGAUCCCAAAAACGGGGGGGUCCCAAAAUGGGGGAGGGGAAAUCCCAAAAUGGGGGGAUAAAUGGGGGUCCUGGGAGGGGGGAGACCCCGAAAUUGGGAUCCCAAAAUGGGGGCUCUGAGAGGGGGUGACCCCAAAAUGGGGAGGGUCCUGCAAGGGGGCAUCACCCCAA